rnacentral:sRNA from 1 species
CCGAAUGCCCCUCGGGGGUUCGGUGAAGACGGGCACCGGCAGGUGUUCGGCGGCCCGCUUGUAUCCAACUUGCUCAAUGGAGGAUUUGGCUAUGAGAA